rnacentral:snRNA from 1 species
GUGCUUGCUUCGACAGCACAUAUACUACAAUUGGAAAAUACAGAGAAGAACAACAUGGCCCCUGCGCGUAAGUUACAGAAUGAGGAAGACGUGGUGUACGUACAA